rnacentral:lncRNA from 1 species
UGCCUUUUAACAAUCGCAAAGGCUCCGUUUCACUUGGUUUCAUGUCCUGUCCAUCGCCCCGUUUUCAGGAGACAGACGAGGUGUUGAUUUUAAUUAAGGCUUUUCUUUCUAUCGGUGUUUCAACAAUUCCAGGCAGAGAAACUCAGCAGCCUGGAGAGUAUAACUGGGUGAGUGCUGCAGGCUACUUCGGCAAGCAAUAAAAUCACACGGGGAUCUGGACUCACUAAGGAGACGAAUCAAUCUGUACUGCUGCAGUGGUCAGCUGUGUAGGGACUGUGCUGGGCCAGGCCCUGCUGUGAAACCAACCCGGAGGAGGCAGAGAGAUCAGAAACAUUUUAACCAGGACUGCAGUGUGGAAAAGGGACCAAUUAGAGCCAUUCCUUAAAACCGGUGAAAGGUUUUACCUCGGCAGCCCUGGCAAUGUAAGUCCUUUACCCACAGAACAGAUCCACCAGCGGGAUUCUUCUGCACCUAUCCCAGCUCUGGUCCCAUGGGCAGUUCAGUCUCCGGGCUCCUUUGAACCUGGGACCCUGUGCCAAGGCUGCCUGAAGUGGCACUUCUGUGAGGCAGGUGAGUGCCUGGUCUCUGGACACUCCACGGAGAGCACUGAUUUCGCAUGGGUCACCAGCUGAACACUGUUUACACCAGCCUGGUUUGGAUUCAAACCAGCAGCCUGAAGAGGCUCUGUAGCCCCCUUACUUAUCACCUGAGCUCUCUUGUCCACCUUGCUCUCCUCCCCGCUGGGUUUCCUUUC